rnacentral:sRNA from 1 species
GCCCAGACCCUCCACCCGGGAGAGUCCCAGGCGCGUUUACCCAGCACGCGUACGACGGCAAGGAUUACAUCUCCCUGAACGAGGACCUGCGCUCCUGGACCGCGGCGGACACCGUGGCUCAGAUCACCCAGCGCUUCUAUGAGGCAGAGGAAUAUGCAGAGGAGUUCAGGACCUACCUGGAGGGCGAGUGCCUGGAGUUGCUCCGCAGAUACUUGGAGAACGGGAAGGAGACGCUACAGCGCGCAGAUCCUCCAAAGGCACACAUUGCCCACCACCCCAUCUCUGACCAUGAGGCCACCCUGAGGUGCUGGGCCCUGGGCUUCUACCCUGCGGAGAUCACGCUGACCUGGCAGCGGGACGGGGAGGAACAGACCCAGGACACAGAGCUUGUGGAGACCAGGCCUGCAGGGGAUGGAAACUUCCAGAAGUGGGCUGCUGUGGUGGUGCCUUCUGGAGAGGAACAGAGAUACACGUGCCAUGUGCAGCACGAGGGGCUGCCCCAGCCCCUCACCCUGAGAUGGGAGCAGUCUCCCCAGCCCACCAUCCCCAUCGUGGGCAUCGUUGCUGGCCUUGUUGUCCUUGGAGCUGUGGUCACUGGAGCUGUGGUCGCUGCUGUGAUGUGGAGGAAGAAGAGCUCAGAUAGAAACAGAGGGAGCUACUCUCAGGCUGCAGUGUGAGACAGCUUCCUUGUGUGGGACUGAGAAGCAAGAUAUCAAUGUAGCAGAAUUGCACUUGUGCCUCACGAACAUACAUAAAUUUUAAAAAUAAAGAAUAAAAAUAUAUCUUUUUAUAGAUA